rnacentral:rRNA from 1 species
GACGUAGGGCGCGAGCGUUGUCCGGAUUUAUUGGGCGUAAAGAGCUCGUAGGCGGCUUGUCGCGUCGACCGUGAAAACUUGGGGCUCAACCCCAAGCCUGCGGUCGAUACGGGCAGGCUAGAGUCCGGUAGGGGACCACGGAAUUCCUGGUGUAGCGGUGAAAUGCGCAGAUAUCAGGAGGAACACCGAUGGCGAAGGCAGGUCUCUGGGCAUUAACUGACGCUGAGGAGCGAAAGCAUGGGGAGCGAACAGG